AGAAAAUAAAAUCUAUAUAUAGAACUUGCAAUAAGCAAAAAAGGGUAAGCACGCAAUUAACUAUAGAAAAUGGUUUUUUCUUCAUCAACAACCAAAUUCACCAUGGUUGCAGCUUUCGUUCUUCUUCUGGUUGCUGUUGUUGCUGGCUCUGAUGACAUGGGUUCCAUGCCAGGGAUGGGUCCCAUGCCAGGGAUGAGUCCUGGACCAUCAACCUCAGGUUCUUCAAGAAACCUCGUCGGUGCAGUGAUCACUGUUCUUGUUCCUGUUGUUCUUAUUUUUCUUGUUACCAAAGACAGGAUUAUUUAAAUUCAUCAUUAAUUGUUACUGUGACUACCUUCUAGCUAAGGUUAUUGCCUCUUAAAUGUUAUUCUGAUUUUCUGUGUGUUCUUUUUACAUGUUGUAUGUGUUAGUGAGAGGAUUCUAAUUAACCCUCUUUCGUGUUAUAUGUUAUGUCUUCAAAUAUAUAUAUCAAUAAAGAUUAUUUGUGUACGGUGUACCUUGACAUGAACUACAACAUCCUCGUUCCGUAAAUGCUAUGUUGCCUAUGCUUAAU
rnacentral:lncRNA from 1 species